UAUUUUACCUCCACAAACAGCUGAGGCAUGGUUUGCGAUACAUGUGGCAAAAAAGUGAGGUGUUGUGGCAACACCACUGACCUUGUCAAACACCUCAGAGUAAAUCAUAUCACAGAAUAUGACGAGCGUAUGUUGAGGCGAACUGAAGAGCAGGAGUGGACAGGUGCUGCUAGGGCGAGACAGACAUCUCUCACAGAGUCCUUUAGUGCUGCAGGCAGGCAAGGUGUUCAAAUGGCGCACAACUUCAGUUUUUUUAUUUCUAUAUGAUGAACUCUGCAUUAUUAAGUGAUAAGAACAAGUAAUCUGAUGUCCUGUAUAGAGAUGGCACGAUACCACUUUUUUAUGUCCGAUACCGAUACCGAUAUCAUAAAUUUGGAUAUCUGCCGAUACCGAUAUGAAUCCGAUAUAAUGUUUUUUAAUCAACAAAACUGUUUUUUAAAUAUCUUGCUGCAUUUUGUAUAAGUUCAUACUCAAGUUUAAAACAACAACUACACUAAAGCUAUUCUGUUAUACCUGUAUGCAAAAAAAAAAAAUUUUAAUAGUUCAGCAAUACUGAUCAAUCUAAUAAACUUAAACCUGCACCAUCCUCCCUAUUCUGGUAUUUUAAAGAGUACUUAGCAUAAAUAUUAAGCAACCUAACUAAUAGGGUUCCAACUCCCAGCAACAACAAAAAUAAAUAAAUAAAAAAUAGGGAACCACCCCUCACGCUCCACCUCAUGAUGCUUAAUCGACGUAAUCAACCUUAAUUUGAUGCAGUGUGAAAAAAAAUGCACAGAAAUCAAUUAUUUUUCAAGAAAUAUUAAAUAGAUUCAACAUCUUUCUUCAACAAAAUUGCAGACUGCACAGAUGGUACCUUCCCAAAGGAAAAAGUACUAUAGCUUACUAGGGUAUAUAUAUUAGACGUAAUAGUUACUAUAUACAGUAAUUGACUUCUAUUCAUUUUACAUCAAAUUAAAACUUUGGGUGUCAGAUAAUUAUUUAUUAAAAGCUAGACAUUUUAAAUGAGAAUAAGAAAGAAAAGUAUGUCUUUGUGCCCCCUUUUCCCUGUUAAUGCCCUAUCGGCCCCCCUGGCUAAACUUUGCUAGAUCCGCCCCUGCACAGUUACCAGCGUCAGCUACGUAGAAAAAGAUCCUCGAGUAGAAAGUAAUAUUAAAUACAUUCUAACAACAGCUGAUCAAGCUUAAACGUGCUGCUGUUGUUCAGCCGCUGGUUUCCUCUUUCUGGUGCAAAGUGGGCCAAAAGCAAACUAGAGACACGGACUCGCGACAGAAAAGCCGAUCAGCUGAUCGUUAAGCAGUUUCAUGAUUGAAGUAGCAGCAGGAGAGGCAGUCGCUUGUUAAGCUUAACGCAUGAAUGCUUUACAAACAUUCAGAGAUGGACUUACACACUUGCUUUACUUCUCUCGGGGAUAACUUUGUCGGAGAUGAAAUGCCGGGUUGCUAGCGAAGCUCCACAUGCUAUCCAGACCACCUACAGGUCCCGCAUGCCACAGCCGCUCUAUCACGUGAUGCAUACUGCUCCGACGUGCUAACGUUCUGAG
ensembl:lncRNA